AAGUUUCAACAACGGAUCUCUUGGCUCUCGCAUCGAUGAAGAACGCAGCGAAAUGCGAUAAGUAAUGUGAAUUGCAGAAUUCAGUGAAUCAUCGAAUCUUUGAACGCACCUUGCGCUCUCUGGUAUUCCGGAGAGCAUGCCUGUUUGAGUGUCA
rnacentral:rRNA from 1 species